AUUGAACGCUGGCGGCAUGCUUUACACAUGCAAGUCGAACGGUAACAGGCCGCAAGGUGCUGACGAGUGGCGAACGGGUGAGUAAUGCAUCGGAACGUGCCCAGCCGUGGGGGAUAACGCAGCGAAAGCUGCGCUAAUACCGCAUACGAUCUGUGGAUGAAAGCGGGGGACCGUAAGGCCUCGCGCGAUUGGAGCGGCCGAUGUCAGAUUAGGUAGUUGGUGGGGUAAAGGCUCACCAAGCCAACGAUCUGUAGCUGGUCUGAGAGGACGACCAGCCACACUGGGACUGAGACACGGCCCAGACUCCUACGGGAGGCAGCAGUGGGGAAUUUUGGACAAUGGGCGCAAGCCUGAUCCAGCAAUGCCGCGUGCAGGAAGAAGGCCUUCGGGUUGUAAACUGCUUUUGUACGGAACGAAACGGUCCUGGUUAAUACCUGGGGCUAAUGACGGUACCGUAAGAAUAAGCACCGGCUAACUACGUGCCAGCAGCCGCCGUAAAAC
rnacentral:rRNA from 1 species